GACGAACGCUGGCGGCGUGCCUAAUACAUGCAAGUAGGACGCAGUUGCGAACGGGUGAGUCACGCGUAGGUAAUUGACUAUUAGAGGGGGAUAACUAUUGGAAACGAUAGCUAAUACCGCAUACUAGUAGAUGGACCUGCGUUGUAUUAGCUAGUAGGUUGGGUAAUGGCCUACCUAGGCGACGAUAAGUAGCCGACCUGAGAGGGUGAUCGGCCACACUGGGACUGAGACACGGCCCAGACUCCUACGGGAGGCAGCAGUAGGGAAUCUUCGGCAAUGGAGGAAAGCCUGACGAAGCAACGCCGCGUGAGUGAGGACGGUUUUCGGAUUGUAAAGCUCUGUUGUUAAGGACGGGGUACUUAACCAGAAAGGGACGGCUAACUACGUGCCAGCAGCCGCGGUAAUUC
rnacentral:rRNA from 1 species